rnacentral:rRNA from 1 species
AGAGCUCGUAGGUGGUUUGUCGCGUUGUUCGUGAAAUCUCACGGCUUAACUGUGAGCGUGCGGGCGAUACGGGCAGACUUGAGUACUGCAGGGGAGACUGGAAUUCCUGGUGUAGCGGUGGAAUGCGCAGAUAUCAGGAGGAACACCGGUGGCGAAGGCGGGUCUCUGGGCAGUAACUGACGCUGAGGAGCGAAAGCGUGGGGAGCGAACAGGAUUAGAUACCCUGGUAGUCCACGCCGUAAACGGUGGGUACUAGGUGUGGGUUUCCUUCCUUGGGAUCCGUGCCGUAGCUAACGCAUUAAGUACCCCGCCUGGGGAGUACGGCCGCAAGGCUAAAACUCAAAGAAAUUGACGGGGGCCCGCACAAGCGGCGGAGCAUGUGGAUUAAUUCGAUGCAACGCGAAGAACCUUACCUGGGUUUGACAUGCACAGGACGCCGGCAGAGAUGUCGGUUCCCUUGUGGCCUGUGUGCAGGUGGUGCAUGGCUGUCGUCAGCUCGUGUCGUGAGAUGUUGGGUUAAGUCCCGCAACGAGCGCAACCCUUGUCUCACGUUGCCAGCGGGUAAUGCCGGGGACUCGUGAGAGACUGCCGGGGUCAACUCGGAGGAAGGUGGGGAUGACGUCAAGUCAUCAUGCCCCUUAUGUCCAGGGCUUCACACAUGCUACAAUGGCCGGUACAAAGGGCUGCGAUGCCGCGAGGUUAAGCGAAUCCUUUUAAAGCCGGUCUCAGUUCGGAUCGGGGUCUGCAACUCGACCCCGUGAAGUCGGAGUCGCUAGUAA